GCAAUGCAUAACACAGUACAUGUUAUAAUAUGUCCCGUCUUGCAUAACACAUGCAUAAAUGUGAAGCACACAAGCAGCAAAACCAGGGUAGCACAAACACAACAUGUUUGAUGAGAAGUUGCAAAUGAGUAGUUACACUAUCUCUAGUCUCUUUAGUGUAAAGGUUUGAAUAGUUUAAACCACUCUUCAAAUAGCAUCUUAUAUUUACCAAUGAGUAGAUUUAGGUAAGGAAACUACUGCAGCUGCUUUAG
rnacentral:misc_RNA from 1 species